UCAGAUCUUCGGGGCUAGGUUAGUCCUCCAUGCGGAGGAUGAUUCCUGACCGGCGGUAUAGUCCGCGACUCCCGUGACAAACGGGACUGACAUGGUGAAACUCCAUGACCGACAGUUCAGUCUGGAUGAGAGAAGACAGCG
rnacentral:ncRNA from 2 species